rnacentral:lncRNA from 1 species
UCAUUCAUGGCUUUUAGCUGCCUUGCAGAUUUGUGUGGGGGAAGGAGUUCAAUGAUCACCACUUAGAAGGGCUUCCUUUUUUAUUCUGUGGGGAAAAAAAAAUCAGGGAAAAAAUAAAAAACCAGCAAGGACAAAGAUGAUAUUUGGUAGUUACAGUUCGUAGAUCGAAGACAGCAUCCUUUCCUGUCUCAAAAUUGUCAUAUCACUUCAAGGUGCUCAGACAUAUAAUUCCCAGAUAUAUCAAAUGCCAUCUUUUUUAUUUUCCCAACUUUAAUAUGAAGAUUUUGGACAUGUGAUAGGGCUGAAAAACUGGUUUCUUUGUAUGUGAUAAUUCAAUCAAUCAGUAACGGUUGCAUAGAAUAUUAUAUUAAGAAGAAUUCAAAAGGCACAGAAGUAAAGAAUGCUGUCCCCAAUUAGGGAUGUCUUCCCUGGGUGCAGGAAGAGGAGUGGCCACACAUCUGCUACAAAUUUGAAAACCCUGAAAUAGAUUAUGUAUGAGGUUCUUUCCAGUGCUAGUCUUUUAUGAUUCCUACAAAACCAGAGGGAAAGUAUCCAGCAUUGAAUUACUCCAUUCAAGGCUAGAUGUGCAUAUUGCCAGUAAUCCCUCAGAGUCUUAUGUAAAUGGUUGAGAGGGUAAAUGGGAGCUUCAAGGUGCUGGGAGGGAGCUGGGGCUGCCCCAACAGCCAGCCCAGAGGCUGGCAGCACCAGGCUUUUCUAACCCUCUGAUGGUGGAGAGCCAGCCCACUGAGAUCUUUCCUCUCCACUUCCUCAUUAUUCUCAUUAGUCUUCCUUACUCACACAGUGACACAUUCUCUAUUACAGCAGUGGUCUUUUACUUCUCAGACCAUGAAACAUCUAGAGUCUGGACAAAACCACAUGCUCUCUUCCAUGAGAAAUCUACUCACAAACACAUCUAUACAAUUUGGGGUCUUACCUGUUUUCAUAAAUAUUUGUUGAUCUCUUAAUCUCCAUCAGAUGCUCAUCUCCAUCAGAUGUUGGUGAUUUGGAGAUGUUACAAUGCCUUGGGACUGUAUCUGUGGACCCAAAGUUUAAUAGAGCCUCUUAAAGUUUUAUUUGGAGCAGAAGGCAAUUGUUCCUGUUGUGAUCAUUAUUACCAAACACAGUAACAACAAAUUUUUACUGGUAAGUCAAUAUAGUGGUAAGGCCCAGUGCUAAGAACUUUGCCUGAGUUAAUUCCCUUAAUUCUGAUAGCAAACUGUAUGAGGAAUUUUAAAAGAGACAGUAAUACAUUUUAAGCACUUUUUUAUAACAGUGUCCAAGAUAGAG